rnacentral:rRNA from 2 species
UAGGGAAUCUUCGGCAAUGGGGGGAACCCUGACCGAGCAACGCCGCGUGAGUGAAGAAGGUUUUCGGAUCGUAAAGCUCUGUUGUUAAGGAAGAACGAGUGUGAGAAUGGAAAGUUCAUGCUGUGACGGUACUUAACCAGAAAGGGACGGCUAACUACGUGCCAGCAGCCGCGGUAAUACGUAGGUCCCGAGCGUUGUCCGGAUUUAUUGGGCGUAAAGCGAGCGCAGGCGGUUAGAAAAGUCUGAAGUGAAAGGCAGUGGCUCAACCAUUGUAGGCUUUGGAAACUGUUUAACUUGAGUGCAGAAGGGGAGAGUGGAAUUCCAUGUGUAGCGGUGAAAUGCGUAGAUAUAUGGAGGAACACCGGUGGCGAAAGCGGCUCGCUGGUCUGUAACUGACGCUGAGGCUCGAAAGCGUGGGGAGCGAACAGG